CAGCAGGAGAAAAAUUAAUCAUAAAAAAAAAUAUUAUUAUUCCAGGGGGAAAAAUGGCGGAUUAAAAUCCAAGAUGGCGGCGGCAAGGGCCGAACUCUGUGGGGGGAAGAGCCGCCUAGAGAUCCAUCCGCCAGGCCCCGCGAGAAAGAGUCCCUUGGGCCCCCUCACAGAGACCCUGCGGAGCGGUGGCGCUACGGUCACCGCCUCCUGCUUCUCCGUGGGGAGCCCCUCGGCACUUCGCUCGCGCACUCAGAGCAGCCUCCACCGCGUGCCGAGGUCCCGUCUCUCCCUGCCAGCCCCGCUGCCGCCUCACACAAUCAGGCGAGGCGCCUCCUGUCCGUGUGCUCCAAAGCGGCGGAAGAACACGCCAAGCUCUAGUCCUGCAAGAUCGCUCCUCGCGGCGGAGGAAUACGCCUCAAAAUAAAUCCCUUCUAGUGCUUCACGCUACUUCCCAGAGCGACGGCGCAGCGCCGAAUGGGUCUCUCCGCCUGCGCUUCCCCCGAGGCAGAGGAACAGGAUGCGGGGCGACUCCCAUGACCUCUCCAGGCUGUUUAUGAGCCGGGCGGAGGGAUUCACAAUCACACUGAAACAAGUCCCGGCUCCAUCCCAGUGUUAGGGGCGGCCGCGGCGGAGCACGGAAAGAAGUCUCGGUCGGUAUUAGAACCUGAAGGGAUCCCUCCGCUUCCGACGGCCCUUUAAAUACCGGUCACUGGCAACAGCGGAAGGAAAAUGAAUCCUCCCCACCCUUGGAUAUGGGAGCGAGCGAGUCGAGGCCUGUCGUCGGAUCCUGGGGGGGGGCUUAUCAGCAACACCCCUCACCGCUGUCCCAGCCCCGAGGAGCUCUAGCCACCUCUCCAGAUCCCCACCCGUGUGUGUCAGGGCAUGGGGGAGGUCACUUCCUCAGUGCUUGGGGGAGCUGUCCAGCAUGUGGUCAACUGCCCCUCCAGGCUCUGCGUGAAGCUCUGCUGACUGCCACCGUCCUGCUUUGGUUUCCAACCCAGAUCCCCAUAAUCAGAGAUUCCACCUUCUGUGUCAACUCCCUUAUGGGUGGCGCACUGACUUGCCAAAGUCUUCCAGGGUGACUUUUAAUGUCCACACAGAUAAACCACAAACCUCUGCUGGGCCUGGCUUCAGCAAGGUCUGGGUCAUGAUUAUCUGAGGAAGUCCUUAUGUACUGCCUUAAGGCUCUAAAUCUUAGGGCAAAUCAACACUACAAAGAUGGCAGGGUGCCCCUUACUUCUUCCCUGCCCUUUCCCUAUGCAAUAGAGUUGCCUUUCUCUUGCCUUCCCCCAACCUCUACUCGCAAGGGGAUCUCUUGUUUUUAAAAAUGCUGUGUCACUUAGAUGAACUGCUAUUCCCACUUGGCUUAAAGUAAGGCAACUCCAUAUUCUAUGCAGGUGGAGUUGUAUACCUUAAGUCAAGCUGCUGGGUCUAGUGUAGACCUGGCCCAAGGUAUUUUAAUCACAUCUCAUCACUUGCAGAAUUUUGUUUUAAAUCUCAGUUUGAAUUAUACAAGCAAACAAAAAAGUAUCUCAAACAGGGUUCUCUAAUAUGGAUUUCAUCAUUGUGGACAGUGCUGAAGGGAGUUAUGAAGACUGAGGUUCUCUGUCCACAGGCAUCACCCCUGCAAACUUUCCCUGACAAUGCACACCGAUACUGACCAUUUCACUAUUUUGAAAACACAUGAGUGAUUUUGUCCAGAGAUUGAUCCACAGCUAGAUAAUUCUGCUUAUCCUGGUGAUAGAUUGUCAUUCUCUCUCUUGGACCAUUUACACAAAAAAGCCAAAUGCAAAUCAGUUCUGCUGUUAGCUCCAACUUUACUUCACCAAUGGAUCAAACAAAUCUGCCAAAAGUGACUUGACUCUACCCAAAGAAUUAAAAAUAAGAUGGGAGAAGAGGGAAUAUUUCUAAACCAGCCGAAGUUUAUAAGUAGUUUUGAAGAAGACAAAACAGGCUCCAGGAAUUGUUUCAGUGGGCUUUGGACCAAAACCACAAGUCAGGGUGAAUCUGUUGACUUCAGAGAGCCCAUUGUUUCCAUUCCAGUAACAUUCAGUAGCCCCAAACUGAGCAGGGUCCCAAUGCGUUAAGCACUGUACAAAUGUACAACAAAGCAUUUCCGAAGAGUGAGAAAAGGUUUGUCCUUUAUUUUUUCUUCAUUCUGAAAUAAAACAUUGUCAUCAUGCCUGUCCUAAAAUUCUCUAUGAACUUAUUUUAUUCAAUGUCACAUGGGCCUUGACUUUGCUUCCUUUCCAGUUCCCUUUGCUCAUCUGGCACUGUGUAGAAGACAAAAGACCAAUCAGAUCUCUAGUGAUACAUCAGCCUUUUCUGCAGUUCCUGAGUCAGUUCUGAAAUAAGCUUGGCAUAGUCAUUUUGGACCUCAGGAGAAAGCAUUUUUUUCCUUUCUUAAAAU